rnacentral:lncRNA from 1 species
CCGAGAGCUCCGAAACCCCGGUCCCUGCAAGGCUGGGUCUGGGGAGGGGGCCCGGACGCAGAGGGUUUAGCUCCGCGCCUCCAAGACAGCCGCGCCUGGGAUACAGCUACAGCCUACUGGGAUACCUGGAACAGCAAACUGGCGCGCGUGAAACCGGCUGCCCGAGAAGACGCGUGGCUUCGCCCCCCGCGGUGCCUGAGCCCGGGCUCUGGGACGCGGGGGUCCGCCCUCCGGACGGGUUAGCUCUUCCCAGCUCCCACUGCGCUCUCCAGCCGUUCGAGCCCCCCGGCUGCCGCUGGGAGCGAAGCGCCAGAUGCGCCUCCCUCCGGCUCGGCAAAGACUCCUGGCGGGGCUCGGCCUCCGCCCUGCGUGCACCGCGGACUCCCGUCUGGCCAAGGUCGCCGUUCCCGCCGCCACAGCCGCCACCUCCUCCCUUAGGAGACAAGAGAGUGUGUAUCUGAAAGAGAAGAAACAAGGUGUCCCUUCUGUGAGGGCACUCACUCUCCAAAGAAAAACACUGUAUUACAAGGUGCCCUCUGGAUUGGAGAGAAGAAACACCCAGUCUCAAGGUAAGCCGAACCCUGUCCCCAGAGCCGUCCCUGCAGGGAGCUUAUUUACCUUGGCUUUUCUAUUUUCUGACUCAUGGUUGUACUUAAACUCUCUUCUCUCUGGCUAUGUGUCUUUUAAUACACUUUUUUUUAUAUCCCAAAUGUGGCUUUAGAACUGACCUGUACCCU